rnacentral:tRNA from 3 species
AGUUAAAAAGCUAAAAGAAUAAGCAUAUUGCCUUGAAAGCAACAAAAAGAAGUUAAAAUCUUCUAUUAACUU